CUCUCUGAUAAGACACAAAGUCUGAUGCUAGACUAAGCUCCAUUUUACAGCACUAGCUUCACAUUUAAUGAUUUCCUCAAAGGACUGGAUCACAUUGCAGUGGCAUGCCUUAUCCCCACCCCAUAUUUUCUACUCACAUGCCACUUGAAAAAUUGAUCUGUUCCUUGGUCAUGCAAGGUAUAUUUUGCACCUGAGCAGUGUGGUUCAGGCUUGAAAACGUGUUCAAAGCAGGGGCAAAUCUGAGAUGCAACGAAAAAACAAACCACUAAGAAAACAAUUCAAUGGCUAUCUGCUGCUCUGAAAUGGAAUAAGAUGAGAGAAUCAACACAAAUGGUGAAUACUGAGCUCUGUAAAGCAAUAUAAUUAGAUUUCACCUGUUGAUUUUUACAAGCUGUGGCCUUCAUGUUACAAAUCUCAUACCUUCACUCUGAUUUCACUCCAGUGAAGACACAAUUUUAACCAUCUUUGUAUUUCAAUUCAACAGCACCAGCCCAAUUUAAUCUUUAAAUGGUAAAAUCGUACUCAUCUUUAUUUCCAUUUCCCAUGUUAUUUUAGAGUCAUUUUCCAGAUCUAUCAUUUGAAUUUGUGCCAUAGUGUUUCCCCCCUGAAGAAAUACUAACGUUAGUGUUCAAAGCACAAAAAUAAAUACAAGCUGAGUGCCUGGAUUUCUGAUGACACUGCAGUUAGAAACGGCGCAGAUCCAGGUCUCAGAGCAAUUUUAGGAUGGCCAGGUAGUCACCGGACUUAAUUUCAAGACUUAAUAAAACCGGUGCAGUUGAGAAAAUCUAUUUAUCUAAGGUCAAUUGUAUUUUGACUUCUGAGCUUCAGAACUGUGUCGCGGCAGCUGUGUCUGUGUGGGAAAGCAAUGAAGGGCUCGCUCUUACAAGUAUACUGGUAAAACAGCAGUACAGUAGAGCUAACAGAAUGCCCAUUUUCAGGUGGCAACGGGAGUUUUUCAUUAUCUAUCAAGGGACAGCUUCGGUGAAUAUUUUGUUCGAGAUUUGUCGGCCGAUUUGUUGCUCGAAAAUCACUGUCGCGGUUUUACCAGAGCCUUUCUUUUCGGGCAGAUGGGCUGGAUAAUAGCUACGGGCAUUUUCCUGCGGGAGAGAAUUGAAUAAAGGACCGUCCCCGGCUGCACCCCGGACCCGGGGAAGACCCUCAGAGCUGCUCGGUGCGCUUUCGCAAGCUACUCGGCAGAGUUGCGGCUGCAACCGACUUCUAAAAACUCGGAGGCGGCUGUGCCAGAAGAAAACAAGCCUUGCCCUGUCACGAUUUCGCCCGGUGCCAGGCACGCAGCUGCGGUAACACAGGAGCCGGCGUGACCCGAGCAGCCCCCGCUACCUUCUCCCCGCAGCCUGAUUUCGUACAUGGUGGG